rnacentral:tRNA from 1 species
GCCUGGGUGGCGUAGUUGGUGAAGCGUCUGACUUCGGCUCAGGUCGUGAUCUUACGGUCCGUGGGUUCGAGCCCCACGUCGGGCU